rnacentral:rRNA from 1 species
UACGUAGGGAGCAAGCGUUGUCCGGAAUCAUUGGGCGUAAAGCGCGCGUAGGUGGCCCCAUAAGUCCGCUGUGAAAGUCAAAGGCUCAACCUUUGAAAGCCGGUGGAUACUGUGGGACUAGAGUCCGGGAGAGGAGAGUGGAAUUCCUGGUGUAGCGGUGAAAUGCGCAGAUAUCAGGAAGAACACCCGUGGCGUAAGCGGCUCUCUGGAACGGUACUGACGCUGAGACGCGAAAGCGUGGGGAGCGAACAGG